rnacentral:rRNA from 1 species
AAGAGAGAGACAUGCGCGCAUAUCAAUAAGCGGAGGAAAAGAAACUAACUAGGAUUCCCUCAGUAACGGCGAGUGAAGCGGGAAGAGCUCAAAUUUGAAAUCUUCAAGGUUCUACCUUGACGAAUUGUAGUUUAAAGAAGUGUUUUCUGUUGGAGUUUUGGUAAAAGUUCUUUGGAAUAGGACAUCAUAGAGGGUGAGAAUCCCGUAUUUGACCAUUAUUUUCAGCUGUGUGAUAGCACUUUCAAAGAGUCGGAUUGUUUGGGAAUGCAGUCCAAAAUGGGUGGUAAAUUUCAUCUAAAGCUAAAUACUGGCGAGAGACCGAUAGCGAACAAGUACCGUGAGGGAAAGAUGAAAAGAACUUUGAAAAGAGAGUUAAACAGUACGUGAAAUUGUCAAAAGGGAAGCGUUUGACACCAGUGUUGUUUUCUCGAAAAUCAAUUAAAAAGAGUCAGAUUUUGUGUUGUAUUGACCUUAAUCAGCUUCUGCACUUCAAUUUUCUUGUCUUUUUUAAUGCACUUUUCGUUUAACAAGUCAACAUCAGUUUCUUUUGUUGUAAAAGGGUCAUUGGAAGGUGGCUUUCUUUUCGGAGAAAGUGUUUAUAGCCUUUGCCUCUGCAAUCGGAGAGAUUGAGGUCUGCAGCGUAGAUCCUUCGGGGUUAGAUACAUUUGUGCUAAGUUAUAGCCUUUCAUAGACAACUUGUUGACUAUGAUCAGUCAUGUAGCUUACUCGCUUAUGCUAUUUUACCUACGCUUAGGAUGUUGAUGUGAUACUGCGAGCA